AGGUUUGCAAUAAAUCCGUAAUAUAGUUAAGUGAUUGCAUCUUUUUUUCAGCUAAGUUUGUCAUUACUAAUCAAAUAAUAUUGGAUAGCAUUUAGUACUUAGCUUCAUGUAGCAAUAUCCAUGAGAGUAUCCUAUUAAAGAUCAAAGCACUUCUUAGAAAUUUUAUUUGAUCCAAGGAUCUAAAUAAACAAACUUAAGCUAAAGUAGUAUGAGACAUGACAAUUACUCCUACUAUUAAGGAAAGUAUUAAGAUGUCUAAUUCUUUCGGUCAAAUCCAAACUCUAUUGACUAAACUAAUACUAAAGACAUUAUCAUAUUACGUAUUGUCUUGCUUCAGAAUGCACCAGGCACGUAGCUAUAGAAGGUGAGGUUGUGUUUUACAAACAUCCAAAAAAUCCUAAUAGGUUUUACCCAUAUGAAAAGAAUAUAAUUCAAAUUUUCAUUCAAAAGUGCUAAAAAACACUCUUUUUAGUAGUUUCAUUCACACAUAAACCUCAAUUACCUUGUUACUUUCAUAUUUAAGUAAUUUAGAUUUUUUUUAUAAGCCCCAAUCCUAAUUAGUGAGCUUUAAUAAGCUGUAACUUCUAAUCUUACUAUCCACUUGAUGUAAAAUUUUGCAUGCAAUUUUCAAUGUAAGUCUUCUAUAUGCUCAAGAAUUUUUAGUCAAAUCCAACUUAUAGAUUGUAAGAAAACCUCCAAAAAUUACACUAAUAUAACUUGGCUACCAACUUGAAAAGUAAAGUGAAAAUCCUAGUAGUGAUUUAUCUUUCUCUAACCAUCAACUUUGUCUCAAAAUUGGUGUGUAUAUUGAUCUUGAAGUCUUUCAAUACCAUGCCAAAUUUCAUCUUGAUCCAAUUAGUAGAUCUCUAGAUAUAAGAGAAAUUCUAUCCAACCCCAAACUGCCAACUUUUAAAACCCUCUUGUGCUAAAAACUAGAUAUCUCUAAACCACUCCAUUAGAUUAUCACAAAAUUUUGUAUACACUUAGUACACCUAAUAAUCCAAAUAGUUAUAAAUUUUGAAUUAUAGAUGUUAUAGCAAUUGCACGAACUAGCCA
rnacentral:lncRNA from 1 species